CUCUUCCUCUGCCUCCUGACUGACUCUGGUGCUCCCUGUAUAGCUCCCCAGGUUGCAGCUGCCCUUGCCUCUUGGGAACUGUCUGAAGGAAAAACAAGGAAAAAGCUUAUCACCUGAGAAAUCCCUCUACAGCCAGUGAGUCACCAUUCUCUAUACUACUUCAUGAGACUCACCCACAUUCAUUCUGAACCUUCACGCUUUAAAAAAACCAGGUAAGCAGAUUUUUCACAACUGAGGAAACCCGUAUGAAAACAAUGCAAAUAAAGGAGUCAAGCAGUUGCUUCUGUCUGCCCUGAAGCAAGACUUUCACUUUAGAGAUUCUCACAGGGAGCCUUGGUGCCCAAUCUUCCCAACCAGGGGAGGCUCGUGCCCCUUCAAAGCAGAAGAUUCAUGUUGAAGAACUGCUGUCUUUGAACCUCCCAUAAAAUCCAGGUGCUGUGAAACGUGGCACCUGUGUGCUGGCUGUAGCAAAUCCACCCAUGGUGUGGCUGGUGGUCUUCAGAGGUGGCCACCCACAAGUCCUCCCACCUGGAGCCCUCCUGUUGAUGGAGUCUAACUGCCACCCCCACAGUCUGGGCUAGUCUUGUGAUGUGCCCUGAGCAGAACCCAGCAGAAGACAUGCUCUGAUACUUCUGAGACUGGAAAAGAAGACUGGAAGCUUUGCCACCAACUGGUAAGGAAGUGUAGGCUAGACGGCUGAGUGAUUAGAGGCCACAUGGAGAGGCCAUGGAGGAUGUGAGGCCAACUUGGACACAGAAGGCAGCCACAUGACAUCCCAUGUGAGACCAGCAGACACCCACCCAGCUGAGCUCUAGCCAACUCUCAGAACUGUGUGAAAUAAAGCAGCAGGGAUUGAAAUAUCCAUUUCUGGACUACCUCUUCAAGGCAGGGAAGAGACGCAAUAGUUUCACGCAAGUUUUUUAUGUGGUGUCAAGAGCCUCCAACUUACUUCAUCAUCUUCAUCUUCAUCAUCGUCAGACUCAAGAACACCAUCCAGUAGCUCUUCUAUAAAGAAAAAAAUAAAUGAAUAACUGAGAAUACAGCAGGGAACCUUGGCCAACAAAAUCCUUCAGCUGCUGCAGAGACAUGUGAACAGGCUAAUGAGGAUUAGGUGGCACCAGAACAUUCAGGUUUCUGGUGCCCAUGCAGCCACAGACUGAGAUCAUCCUAAGCAGUUUAAACCUCUUUCCCUGUUUUUACCAGAAUGCAGUGUUAGUGGCAUGGGAAAAGUUAAAAGUCACCAUACAAUUUGAGAGGAAUUUUUUUUUAAUUUUUAUUUAUUUAUGAUAGUCACACAGAGAGAGAGAAAGAGAGGCAGAGACACAGGCAGAGGGAGAAGCAGGCUCCAUGCACUGGGAGCCCGACGUGGGAUUCGAUCCCGGGUCUCCAGGAUCGUGCCCUGGGCCAAAGACAGGCGCUAAACCACUGCGCCACCCAGGGAUCCCCAAUUUGAGAGGAAUUUAGAGGAAAGAAAGUAAGUGAGUAUUGCUAGGCACCAUGAUGAAUACUGUCCCACAUGUUAUUUAUUUAUUCCUUACCACGAUUUUGUUGACUCUUAUCCCCAUUCUAUAGCAAAUAGCAAAUGGAGGCAUAAGGGACUUGUUUAUGGUCGCACUCCCAUAAGUGACAGAGUUGAGAUUCAACUCAAGUCUAUUUCUAAAUCUCAUGAUUUUUCCACGGAGACUGAGGUAGGGGCCAUGGCAGGUUGGGUUCCUGAAGGCUCCUGUGGUGCACCAUUAGAUUGUAAAAGAGUUCAUAAAGGAGGGAUAAUAGCAAAAUGGAAUCAGAGAAAGAAUGAGCCUCUGUUUCUUCAUCAGUGAAAGGGGUAUCAGAGCAUCUACUUCCUAGGGUGGUUGAGGGGAUUUUUACAACACACCAAAACUAAACCACCUGGCCCAGGGCCAGGGACAUAGCAGGUUUGUUUACUUUCUCCUCUAUGAAGCCUUCCCUGAUCCCUUACUGAACAGUUACCUCUCUCUCCACUGAACAUACUCAGCAUUUUCUCUAGUUAGCACUGUACUAGAGUAGUACUAGACAGCACUGUAGUAAAUAAUAGUACUAGACAGGCACUACGGUAGAUAGUAGUACUAGAUAGUACUAUAGACAGAGGUACUAGAUAGCACUGUAGUAAAUAGAAACCCCAGGACACCCAUCAUCCUUGACACGACCGUCAUUUUAAAGGAAAGGACUCCAUUGACUUGGCUGGAUCAAGGCCAGUAGGACACCACCAUCUGGCCCCACCUCAGAGGGGCCUGCACGCUUCCGUGCAUAUCAUGGCCCCACUGCUGUCAAGAAAACUACACUGCAGGCAGGGGGAAAUGAUGUCAUCCUGCAUUUGAGCUGAAGCUCCGUUACCUGGCUUCUAUCACUUCCUGGCACACGAGAAGCACUACUCCAUGCCACCUGCAGCAAAUGCCUAUCAAACAAGUGGCUUUCAGAAUGAGGUAGCUGCUAUAUUCAUCAAUUACAAGCAUUUCUUUUUCAAAUAUGGAAUGCCCUCUCUCACUUUUUAAAAAAAAAUCUUAUAUGUUUUGUGAGGCCCUAGGCUGGUCCAGCCACAUCCUUUCCCCCGAGCCCACUGGCUUGGAUUCAUCCUCUUCCCCGAACAAUCCAGUCCUGUGAACUGACGUACCUUAUAAAUCUCAGCUCCAAACAAAAACAAAAACAAAAACCAAACCCCAAAACAAACCAAAACAAAAAAACCUCAGCUUCUCCUCUAGAGCAUGAUGGGGCCAUCAGCCCUGUUUCCCAUAGAUCCCUGGGUUGCAGCACAACCAGCCACCCUCACUCCAGUAUCUGACAGCACCUAGUGCUGGAGCUGCCAGUACCCUUCCUUCCCUGAGGACCCAGCUGGUGAAGCUGGCUCUGCCCUGCUCCUAUCCUCUCUUCAGUGCCUGGCUAGGAUCUGCUGGGCCCCCCUCGCUGGGGGCCACCAUCAUGGAUAUACCUCCCUAUUGUUGCCGGUCGUCUCUGCUCGUCAUGUCACCAGUUUUCCCUUAAGUUUCCCGGAGUAGUUCUUCCCCACCUGUGGGGUUAGGUUCCCAAAAUACUAGAAUUUUUCCAUUUGGAGACCUUAAAACUUUAUAAGAAAAAUAGUGCUAGAGAACUGAUAUGUUUGAAUGUAUGGAAACCCAUAUACAUGUUUUAAGUGUAUACUAAAACAAGAAAGUCAAUCAAUAAAGACUGGCAAUGUCAUUUUUGUCUCUUAAA